GAUGGACGCUGGCGGCGUGCCUAAUACAUGCAAGUCGAGCGAACAGACGAGGAGCUUGCUCCUCUGACGUUAGCGGCGGACGGGUGAGUAACACGUGGAUAACCUACCUAUAAGACUGGGAUAACUCCGGGAAACCGGAGCUAAUACCGGAUAAUAUAUUGAACCGCAUGGUUCAAUAGUGAAAGACGGUUUUGCUGUCACUUAUAGAUGGAUCCGCGCCGCAUUAGCUAGUUGGUAAGGUAACGGCUUACCAAGGCAACGAUGCGUAGCCGACCUGAGAGGGUGAUCGGCCACACUGGAACUGAGACACGGUCCAGACUCCUACGGGAGGCAGCAGUAGGGAAUCUUCCGCAAUGGGCGAAAGCCUGACGGAGCAACGCCGCGUGAGUGAUGAAGGUCGUCGGAUCGUAAAACUCUGUUAUUAGGGAAGAACAAAUGUGUAAGUAACUAUGCACGUCUUGACGGUACCUAAUCAGAAAGCCACGGCUAACUACGUG
rnacentral:rRNA from 1 species